AGUUGCCAUAUUGUAAUAUAUUUUGGUAAAGAUUAUUAAAAGAUGAAACCUUUCACACUACAGUUACCAAUUGUGACUGCUUUUCAUUUCCUUUUAUCUUGAUUGAAAUAAAAAGAGUUAAAUGUUUACCAUGAAAGAACUGAAUUAUAGAAAAAAGUAAAAAAGUCUACAACACCGGGGGUUCCCAAGUGGUCUCCCUCCCAAGUACUAACCCGGCCCGAAGCUGCUUAACUUCGGAGAUCGGACGGGAUCCGGUGUUUUCAGCCUGGUGUGGUCGUAGACACAAGAGAAGUGCUUGUUUUUGUAUUUGAAUGUUUCUUUUUAGCAUUUUGUUGCUUCUUAAGUUGAUUGUAUUUACUUGAUUACUAUCACUAGAUGGCAUUAGUUAAUAUUCAUUUAGUUGUCGCCAUCUAAUGUGUUUUAUGUUAACCAAUGUUUGUUUCUAUUUUGAGCAUAAAUCCUUUAAUCAUUUUUGAUCAAUUAUGUUUUGUACUGAUGAACUUUGAUUAAAUAUAGAUACAAUUAUUGAUCAACAAUAUGUUCAAGAUUGCUUCUGCCUAUGUUGACCUUUCCACUACAUGAAACUAUCAUUUACAGUAAAUUUUCAUUUCUUUCUCAGAUAUUAAUUUCUUGCUUUCACAAUUGUCUGGUUUUUAUAUUACUUGUUUAUGGUAUUAAUACUAGUGAAGACAUUUACAAGCCAAAACUUGAUAUUUUACACUCUUGGCUCAAUAUCCAUUGACGACUCUCUAUGUUUGGAUCAUACUUUUCAUGAAACUCUAUUCACAAUCCAAUAUUACCAUGAUAAUCAGCACUUCUAGAGUUACCCUACAAAACCAAUCAGUCUAACCAUGGACAAAGAUUUUUUUAUCAUUUAUCUUAUUCAGCUUUGAAUCCGAUUUAUCAGCUAUAUUUAAACAAACCGAUAUUGAGAAGCAAAACCAACUUCCUAUAAGUCUUUAUACUAAAGGUAAUCAAGAUGAACUUGAUUCUCAUUGCUUUGUCUAACAGUGGAAACAAGUAAAGAUAUCAACUUGAUUCCUUGGCCAUUAUAUUAAACCAUUAAUCAGAUAACUUUCAAUAUUGAGUUCAUUAUUUUCAACAGAAAUCAUUUCAACCAGAAUCAUCGAUAAAUGUAAGUACACUUGAUUAUUGUGAGAAGUAAAGCUUUUUGUCUUCAACUUUACCCUUUUAAAAGUAAAAAACACACACAAACACCUGAACCAUUCCCAAGCCAUACCGAGCAACUCAGAGUAACCAAUGAAUAAUAACGAUUCAGUUCAAUUGAAGGCAAACCAAGACCUUUGAAAGCAACUCACAAUAUUUGCUCACAAUUGAACCAUUGAAAAGUUGAUCCAAUAUCUGAUCAAAGUGACAACAAUAAAGCAACUAAUGAACUUGAAUCAGCAAAAAUUAAGCCAAUGUAACUCAAUAUCAGAUAAAGUAAACUGAAAAGUUGAUCAACAAUAAAUUGAAGCCAUUAAUAUCGACCAACAAAAUGACUGGCAAUACCAAUUGAUUGCGAGUUACAAGAAAUGUGAUCCUGAAAAUUGAUCAACAAUAUGAAUCAAUUUACAAGUAAAUUAUACAAUAAUCACAUAAAUUGCAACCAGUGAUGAAGGCAAGAAACUAAUUAUCAAUACAAGUCAACAAAAGAGGAGACAAGGAAAAAAGUCUUGCCAAGUUUCAGUUUCAGAGCAAAAAAGGUUCAACCUGAGAACGAAAAGCAAUCUCUUGAUGUGAUUAAUCAAGUUUAAUACAACAUUCUGAGAUAACAUGAUUGAACAGGGUUGAAACAUGAUUGUGGUGACAAGAAAGGGGCCCAACAAAAGUACAAGAUAAGAAGAGCAAAAAAUGACUCGAGAUGUUCAUUUGUUCACUGGGAAGCUUCAUUUAAUCGAUUAAUUUCCUGAUUCCAUUUUACCUUCAUUGAACCUGCAUGAACUUUUCCAUGUUCAACCAAGUCUAUUGAUUUGCAAAGAUUAUCAGAAUCGUGCCAAUAACUUACCUAUUGUACAAGACGAUAUCUGGAAGCCAAAUUAGUUCACAGGGAAUCCUGAUCUUGGAUACGUUUCCAAAUUGCUUGACAUCCCAGGUUAAAAAGUCAUCAAUCCAUUCCUAAAUUGGAUAGCAAAAAAUGUUGAUCAAUUAUGCAAAGAAUUGCAAGAAAAUGGUUUUCAAUUGUUGAACCCUCAAUUUUGGGGUUCACUUUAAUAUGCAAGUUAAUCAAAUUUCAAGUGGCAUGUAAAUUGAUAAAUUGCUUAGAGUAAAGUACUUUUUUUUACCUUU